UGUCGAUGAUGAAUUAAUUUAUCCACAUUCGCAGUUGCAACAGAAGGCUUCAUUGCCUAAAGAUGGCUUAGACCUUCCUUGGAUGUCUGAGACA